rnacentral:sRNA from 1 species
UUGCAGAAGAAGAAGAAGC